rnacentral:rRNA from 1 species
UACGUAGGGUGCAAGCGUUGUCCGGAGUUACUGGGCGUAAAGCGUGCGUAGGCGGUGUCUUAAGUUUGUUGUGAAAUCUCCCGGCUUAACCGGGAGGGUGCGGCGAAUACUGAGAUGCUGGAGUGCCGGAGAGGUAAGCGGAAUUCCUGGUGUAGCGGUGAAAUGCGUAGAUAUCAGGAGGAACACCUGCGGUGUAGACGGCUUACUGGACGGUAACUGACGCUGAGGCACGAAAGCGUGGGUAGCAAACAGG